GAAGUCGAUAAGACCAGGAGAAGUGAAGAUGUAACAUGUUAUCUGUCGCUCCUCUUAGCUGGCGGAGAGAAUUUACAUUUAAAGAUUAGCAGAGUGAGAAAGAGAAAUCUGCCUUUUGUUGUGUGGGGUGAGGAGGAGGCAUCUACCCCUGGCCUUGACGCUAUCUCCCAUCACCUCUGCUAUCCAGACAGGACUCACCGAGUAUCAAAUGAUAAGAACUGAGCACACUGGAUGAAAUAAUACUUGCACUGGGAGCACUAAGAAAAGAUUGAUCUCUGGGCUGGUGAACAUAAUCUCUGUCCCAGUCAGAAAAGGAGAGAGGAAAUUAGCAGAGCGAUUGGUGGAGAAUGAUAUCUGUCAAAAGAAACACUUGGAGAGCACUGAGUUUAGUAAUAGGUGACUGCCGGAAAAAAGGGAACUUUGAAUAUUGUCAAGAUAAACCCCACUUGAAAAACUGAGGUGCUUAAGGAGUAAAAUAAUAUGUUCCUGGUGGCAUCCUCCAGAUCGUACUGAGAAGCACUCCACAAUGCCAGACUCACCUGUGGAUGUGAAGACGCAAUCUA
rnacentral:lncRNA from 10 species